AUCGAACGCUGGCGGCAGGCCUAACACAUGCAAGUCGAACGAGUGGCGGACGGGUGAGUAAUGUAUGGGAAACUGCCUGAUGGAGGGGGAUAACUACUGGAAACGGUAGCUAAUACCGCAUACCAUCAGAUGUGCCCAAAUGGGAUUAGCUAGUUGGUGGGGUAACGGCUUACCAAGGCGACGAUCCCUAGCUGGUCUGAGAGGAUGAACAGCCACACGGGGACUGAGACACGGUCCAGACUCCUACGGGAGGCAGCAGUGGGGAAUAUUGCACAAGGGGCGCAAGCCUGAUGCAGCCAUGCCGCGUGUAUGAAGAAGGCCUUCGGGUUGUAAAGUACUUUCAGCGGGGAGGCGUUACCCACAGAAGAAGCACCGGCUAACUCCGUGCCAGCCGCCGCGGUAAUAC
rnacentral:rRNA from 1 species